AGUUUUCAGAUAUUCGUCUCUGCAACAUUUUUGUCAACACUCUGAAACAAUGGUGGUGAAUGGAAAUUCAUUUGCACAAUUUUGAAAAAAAACACCUUGAGCAGAGUCUGAAACUAGGGGCAUGAUAAAUCCGUGUAUCAUUCGUUCAUUUGUUUUUCCGAUUUCAAAACCAAAACCAGAAAUCGGAUUACGGUUCGUUUCUCGUUUUUUCGAUUAUGCACCCCCAAACGGAAAAUGGAAAAUGAAACAUUCGGAUAACAAAUCCUGGGAGUGUUAGUUGUCAGGGAAACCGAUCGCGAGCCAACAACUGACUCAUGCCACAACUGAUCUGUAAGGAAACAUGGCUAAUUUGGAGUCUCACUACGAGAUGAUAAAUCAACUCUUUCUGUCGGGGAAAACUCACGCCGAAAUGUCUGAGACAUUGAAGAGUAUGGGAAUUAAGGGGUCCUCGGAGAUGUCGGUGAGGAGAUUCUGUGGCGACGUUGGGCUGAGACGGAAGGGGCACAUCACAGACCAAGAGCUGGAAGAAGCUGUCCUGACAUCUAUUCAAAAGACCGGUCCAACGUACGGACGGAAAUUUAUGACAGGGUACCUGUCAUCUGUGGGGGUGAAAGUGGGUGAAAUAAUAAAUUUGACUGUACACAACAUAGGCAUACUAGUAUUCUGUUGUCCAACGGUGCAACAAAAUGUCCUGUGGUGCGACAAAUUGAAUUGUGAGGGGAAAAGGUAUUUUAAUGAAAAAUGUAUGUAAAAAGUGUUGGAUAGUAUAACAAUGAUAUCAUCACUAUGCAGCUUUAAGGAUGAAAUGAAGAUUCCUUGAGUUUUAUACAAAUUAUAAUGAAUGUAACCCAGACAUUUGGGUUAAGUCUCUAUGUGUACAUCUUAUAGUAUAUAAAUAACAUAAUUCUGAAUUUGUUGGGGGUAUGUUUGAUGUGGAAAUAUAAUUGGGACAAACUAAUAUGCCUUGUGCUUAUCUAUCUUACCUGUCCAACAUUCUCUGAAUUAAAUAAUGGCAUUCUUUA